AGUUUCCUACGGGGCGCAGCAGUGAGGAAUAUUGGUCAAUGGGCGUAAGCCUGAACCAGCCAAGUCGCGUGAGGGAUGAAGGUUCUAUGGAUCGUAGACCUCUUUUAUAAGGGAAUAAAGUGUGGGACGUGUCCUAUUUUGUAUGUACCUUAUGAAUAAGGAUCGGCUAACUCCGUGCCCGCAGCCGCGGUAAUACGGAGGAUCCGAGCGUUAUCCGGAUUUAUUGGGUUUAAAGGGUGCGUAGGCGGCCUUUUAAGUCAGCGGUGAAAGUCUG
rnacentral:rRNA from 1 species